rnacentral:rRNA from 1 species
AUUGAACGCUGGCGGCAUGCCUUACACAUGCAAGUCGAACGGCAGCAUGAUCUAGCUUGCUAGAUUGAUGGCGAGUGGCGAACGGGUGAGUAAUACAUCGGAACGUGCCCUGUAGUGGGGGAUAAUUAGUGGAAAGAUUAGCUAAUACCGCAUACGACCUGAGGUUGAAAGUGGGGGACGGCAAGGCCCCAGGCUUUAGGAGCGGCCGAUGUCUGAUUAGCUAGUUGGUGAGGUAAAGGCUCACCAAGGCGACGAUCAGUAGCUGGUCUGAGAGGACGAUCAGCCACACUGGGACUGAGACACGGCCCAGACUCCUACGGGAGGCAGCAGUGGGGAAUUUUGGACAAUGGGCGAAAGCCUGAUCCAGCAAUGCCGCGUGUGUGAAGAAGGCCUUCGGGUUGUAAAGCACUUUUGUCCGGAAAGAAAUGGCUCUGGUUAAUACCUGGGGUCGAUGACGGUACCGGAAGAAUAAGGACCGGCUAACUACGUG